rnacentral:rRNA from 1 species
UAACACGUGGGGAACCUGCCCCAUAGUCUGGGAUACCACUUGGAAACAGGUGCUAAUACCGGAUAAGAAAGCGGAUCGCAUGAUCAGCUUUUAAAAGGCGGCGUAAGCUGUCGCUAUGGGAUGGCCCCGCGGUGCAUUAGCUAGUUGGUAAGGUAAAGGCUUACCAAGGCGAUGAUGCAUAGCGAGUUGAGAGACUGAUCGGCCACAUUGGGACUGAGACACGGCCCAAACUCCUACGGGAGGCAGCAGA